CACAGUACUACCUGAAGAACCA
rnacentral:misc_RNA from 1 species